UUUAUGUGUAAAGUAAAACCCCUGGUUUCAAUUCUAUGGGUAAGUGAAAUAGGCCUUUUCUGGAAACCUAUGGGUUAUCUAGUGUGUAAAUACAGUAUAAAUACUGGAGCUUAAGCUCAGGGUAUUGGGGAUCACUUUUGAGAAUUCUCAUCGGUGUGGAUCUCGUGUGGUGGAAUGGAACAAUAAAGCUGGACCCUUGCUUCUUCUCACUCACGGCUGGUGUGUUUUUUCUAUCUCCAACUGGGCUCAGAGGUAGAUGUGAGUAUUGGCUUCUAAGUUGAGUUUUAAAAGUUUUUGGGUAAUAGGCUAAAUUCGAGCCAACAUUUGGCACCCCAGAUGGGACUGGGCUAAGAUCUAUAUGUCUGGAAUCUCUCCCGUGGGACUUCGCUCUCUAAGCAACAGACAGGCCGUAUAGGAAAAGGCAUUGCAGACGCCUGUUAUUUCAAAGCUCUGUUUUAGUGGUCUGUUGUUACGAUGGAGAAGCCCCGGGGUGGGAAGAAAGACUAAGUGGGUCUCCAAAAGAACCUGGAGUGAGUGAGAAGAGGUAAGAGAAGUAUAGAUUGUAGAAUGUACUUUUUAUAAUUAUAAUAAAGAAAUGGUAUAUGUGUUGUGUGAGUGAAAGUCCUGCAAUACCGCUGGAGGAAGGGAAAAAAGGUAGAAAAAAGAGAAAUAGAGAAAUACUCCAGGGCUGGGAUAGAAAGCAGGUGGAAAAUGAGGCCUCAGACCCCAGAUACCGGCUACUAGACUAGACUAGCAGUCUAGUGGCGGCUGCAUUGGUGGGGACCCCUAAUACCGCUGGAAAAGGAUUAGAUAAAAGAUAGAUAGAUUAGAUUCCAGGGCUGGAUAGAGAGGGGAAUAAAUCCUGGGCCUAGGUCCGGGUCGUGCAAUACAGCAUGCCCGGUGUAUGAAUGGAAUAUGUACUAACAAAUGUGUGUGCUUAAAAUAUAUGUGCUUAUAAUAUGUAUAAUAUGAGUGUGGUGUGAGAGCGUGUAAGUUUUGGAGACAGGGAAAAUGUAUUUAUUAGUGCUCUGAACAUGAGCUCCAUACCUAAAGUAUUGGAUAAGUGGGAUAAGAUUCAGAGAAAAUAAUUUUUUUUGGAGAAAGUUGGAUUUAAUUUGUAUGACUGUAAGCUUCAUGCAUACGGAGCUGGUUUGGAGGUGCUUUAUACUUUGAAAACUUCAUGUAGUAAAAUAAGUGUAAUAAUGUGGAAUACAAUGUGUGUAUGUGAGCUUGCCUGCGUUGUUGAUAGAAAGGGGGGGUGUAUGUGUGUGUGUUCCUGUCCGUUCUUAUCUGUGCGUCUGUGUGGAAGGACAAGGGGGAAAAAAAAAAAAAAAAAAGGGGAAAAAGGUAAGACAAUUCGGUGUGUGUGAAUUCUUCAGAGUGGACUGGGUAAUGCGGAGCAUUGUGAGAUAUCUUGCGGACUUUGAAUAUUUCGAAUCCGGUACAUACGUUCGGUGAGUCGCUAGACUGUGUGUGUGUUAUAAUUAAUUUAAUAUCCAUAACUGCUGUAUAAGUGUAAAAAAAAAAAUAAAAAAUAAAAAAAAUAAUAAUAAUAUUAAUAUGUAAGUGUAUAUAUAUAUAAAUAUAUGCAUAUUUUAGAGCAUGCACGCCAAUGGUACAUAUUUUAGACAUCUGUACGACUGCCCAUUGGGUAAAUAGGAAUUACUAGACCUGUAAUAUAUAACAACAUAUUCCCAGAUUGUGUGAUCCAGGAACAGGAAAACUGAAGGUGGGAGAAAAGUGUAUAUUGUCGGGCCAUUAUUGAGAAAUGAGUGAGUUAGUCCAUUUGGACCCUUUAUUUUUAUGCUAUAAAUUACGAAUGUGAUGUCUAGGUAAAAGCCCCAAAAAUGAGAAUAAUAAUAUAUUGUUUUUGCGGAAGCUGCCACAGGGCCUAGACGGGGGAGGUUCCUAACUCAGGACGGAGAAAGUAGGCGGCUGCGGCAUCCACAGGGACACAAUGGAGCCCGCGUGAAAGAGAUACAAAACGAUGCAGGACCUAUAUAACGGUGGGGGAG
ensembl:lncRNA